rnacentral:misc_RNA from 1 species
GAAAUGCGAUAAGUAAUGUGAAUUGCAGAAUUCCGUGAAUCAUCGAAUCUUUGAACGCACAUUGCGCCCGCCAGAACUCUGGCGGGCAUGCCUGUUCGAGCGUCAUUUCGACCAUCGAGCCCGCGGGCUCGCGUUGGGGAUCUGCGGCCGCACGCAGGCCCCGAAAACCAGUGGCGGGCCCGCCGUCACCCCGAGCGUAGUAGCGUCCGUUUCUCGCUCCGGGCGUGCCGCGGGUCCCGGCCGUUAAGGGGACGUCACGCGUCCACACUUCCAGGCUGACCUCGGAUCAGGUAGGAAUACCCGCUGAACUUAA